AUUGAACGCUGGCGGCAGGCCUAACACAUGCAAGUCGAGCGGAUGAGGAAAGCUUGCUUUUCGAUUCAGCGGCGGACGGGUGAGUAAUGCCUAGGAAUCUGCCUGUUAGUGGGGGAUAACUCGGGGAAACUCGGGCUAAUACCGCAUACGUCCUACGGGAGAAAGUGGGGGACCUUCGGACCUCACGCUAACAGAUGAGCCUAGGUCGGAUUAGCUAGUAGGUGAGGUAAUGGCUCACCUAGGCGACGAUCCGUAACUGGUCUGAGAGGAUGAUCAGUCACACUGGAACUGAGACACGGUCCAGACUCCUACGGGAGGCAGCAGUGGGGAAUAUUGGACAAUGGGCGAAAGCCUGAUCCAGCCAUGCCGCGUGUGUGAAGAAGGUUUUCGGAUUGUAAAGCACUUUAAGUUGGGAGGAAGGGUAUUCACCUAAUACGUGGGUACUUUGACGUUACCAACAGAAUAAGCACCGGCUAACUCUGUGCCAGCCGCCGCAGUAAGAC
rnacentral:rRNA from 1 species